rnacentral:lncRNA from 10 species
CAAUGCCAUUUAGAGGAAAUCUUGGGAUCAACUUGGGAAAAGACGGAGGCUCCUGGCUCUGAUCUUUGGGGACUUCAGAUUUUCUGGAUCAAGGUAGGCACCUUUGUCAUCAAGCCAACAGCUAACACUGGGAGGUAGCACCAAUCACUAAGCAGCACAAGCCACCAGACAUUUAGAUGAGGCCACCUGAGAUCAUCCAGGCAGCAGCUGACCCGGCAGAAACCACAGGCAGGAGAAAAAUGAGCCAAAUAUGGAGGAUCCCAUCAGCUGCAGCAAAGCUACUGGCCAUGAAGGGAAGUGAGAGAAGCAAAGAGAAGAGUGAAGCAGAAUGGGAAGGAAAAUGAUGAUUCUAUGGGCACCAAUCAUGUGAGUCUUCUUGAGGCUUUACCAAGGAAACAGGCAGUUUUAGAGUUGGCCUUAAGGAUGUUCUCUGGUGUCAUCAAAGAAAUGGAAAUGCAAAGCAGAGACAUGUGCAUUUAGAUAUGUGUAAGGCUGUAGACUAUUUUUAGUGGAAAAUGGCUGCUGAGUGUGUGGAAAGAGUAUAAAAGAUUUCAGUGGGAAGAUUCUACAAUCAUUUGAGAUUCUCCAUUGCUGGAAAAUUCUCAAAUUAGGCUUAUGAAGGCAAUUUGAUUUAGCAAACAGCUCUCUGGACCAAGCAAAUCUUCUCAGCAGGGAUGGAAUUUGAACUGCA